CCUAUGCGGAGGCAUAGGGCCGCAGUCUUCUCCCCCCGAGAGCGAGAGGGAGAGGAAGAGAGCGCGAGAGCGAGCGAGCGAGAGAGGGGAAUAGGAGAGGGAGAGAGGAAAGCAGAAGAGCUUCGAAUCUGCUCGGCUGCCAUGCCGCGUCCCUAGAUCUCCUGAUCGGAGCCUUCUCGAUCUGCGGCCCGGUGUGUCCCCCUCGAAACCCUUGCCUCUUGUUUGGUUUCGCUGCAAUUCGAUUUCUAGGGUUCCUAAUCGGUUUUCUUUCGGUUUUCUUUACUUCUUGAUUCGAAACUGUGCCUCCUCCUCAAUGCCCCCUUCAAAGCCCUCUCCCUCUCCCCCGCCGCCGCCCCAGACGCCCACUGCCUCUUCUCCCUCUUUCUUUCUCCCGAUUCUUCACUCUGUAAUAAUUAUUAAAUUAAGAAAGGAAUUAAAUUAAAAGAAGGAAUGGAGAAGGGGGAAAGAAAUGGGGCUCCCGAACCGACUCCACGACGCCUCCAGCGACUCCAUCCCGAUCCUUCUCGUCGUGGCGGCCGCCGGGUGGGUCUCCUACCUCCGCUCCCUCCUCCUCUGGCUCCUCCACUCCCUCGGCCUCCAACGCCUCCACCCCUCCUCCGCCGCGGCCGACGAUCCCCUCCUCCGCCGCGGCCUCCAUUGGGUUGGUGGAUGAAGGGUGCAGGGUUGUUGGAAGAGGCAGAAGGGAUCGUCAGAAGCAUAACAAUGAAGCCAGAUGUGAUGAACUUCUCUCCUAACCCAUAUUUUGAGGACACAAAGCUUGUGAAGACAUAUUCCUUCACCGAGGAAGGAACUACUAAUAUAACCGGUACGACUAUCAAGUGGAAGGAGGGUAUGGAUAUUGCCAAUGGUAAUGGUCAUGAGAAGAAGGGAAGCAAGCGACCCCUUACUGAGGAAAGUUGUUUGUCAUUUCAUCCUUAGUGCAAGUGUCUGGAACUUGGAUGGCGAGAUCCUUCAAGCAUGCCAAGUCUCUGUACAAGUAUGCCGAGGUCUCAUCAACUUAUUUGCAUCAGGACCUGAAGUUUAACAAUAUUCUCCAAGCUGAUCCAUGUGUUCCUUAAAAAGGAAGAAUCAUAUGAGCUGAAUUGAAUAUCUUAGAUUUCUUUGCAGUUUUCCAUGUGAUGUAUUACAAGGCCUGUGGAUAUGCCACAUUGUCAUUAGAGAGUGAUGGAUGAUCCCUGCAUUGCUUUUGAUGGGUAUACAUACAACUGAAAUGCGUUUGAGACCUGGCUCAGGAGAAAUGACAAGUCUCGAAUGUCAAAUUUACCAUUGCCCAAUAAAGAUCUGAUACCUAACCAGUCUCUUCUUUCUGCAAUCAAGGACUGGAAGUCCCCAGAACUGAAUGACCUGCAAAGCUGUCCCAGAAGGUCAUUGUUAUAGUUCACCUAAUCAGGAGAACCUCACCUGCAUGCAAUAAUGGUAGAGAUCCCACAAGCCUGUUUUGGCAUCAUUGGAAGGGCAUUGACCAUGUUCAUUGGGACUUUGAAAUGCUAGUUGUUUCAGGAUAGUGUAUAUGCAACAUUUACAGUGAAACAAGUUUAAAAUAGUAGAACAGAAUAGAAAGGUUCAAAGUAGAGCAAUAUCUGACAUGCCAAACAAAUUUUUGUUUCUGUGAAACAGCUCUUUUUUCAGAAGGCAAGGUGUCUUUCGGGCAGUUUCAU